rnacentral:misc_RNA from 1 species
UCCGUGUUCACCACGGCAGUCUCAGUAGAGUGCCCGGCCGAACCGCUGGCAACUACUGACAAGGGUUGCGCUCGUUGCGGGACUUAACCCAACAUCUCACGACACGAGCUGACGACAGCCAUGCAGCACCUUGCAUCCGGCUUGGUUUUACCCAAGAGACCCCAUCUCUGGGGCUGUCCGGAGCAUUCUAGCCCAGGUAAGGUUCUUCGCGUUGCGUCGAAUUAAACCACAUGCUCCACCGCUUGUGCGGGCCCCCGUCAAUUCCUUUGAGUUUCAGCCUUGCGGCCGUACUCCCCAGGCGGGGCACUUCAUGCGUUAGCGCCGGUACUCCAAGGGUCGCUCCCCGGAGCACCUAGUGCCCAUCGUUUACGGCGUGGACUAC